rnacentral:rRNA from 1 species
AGAGUUUGAUCCUGGCUCAGGAUGAACGCUAGCUACAGGCUUAACACAUGCAAGUCGAGGGGCAGCAUUUCAGUUUGCUUGCAAACUGGAGAUGGCGACCGGCGCACGGGUGAGUAACACGUAUCCAACCUGCCGAUAACUCGGGGAUAGCCUUUCGAAAGAAAGAUUAAUACCCGAUGGUAUAAUCAGACCGCAUGGUCUUGUUAUUAAAGAACUUCGGUUAUCGAUGGGGAUGCGUUCCAUUAGGCAGUUGGUGAGGUAACGGCUCACCAAACCUUCGAUGGAUAGGGGUUCUGAGAGGAAGGUCCCCCACAUUGGAACUGAGACACGGUCCAAACUCCUACGGGAGGCAGCAGUGAGGAAUAUUAGUCAAUGGGCGCAGGCCUGAACCAGCCAAGUAGCGUGAAGGAUGACUGCCCUAUGGGUUGUAAACUUCUUUUAUAUGGGAAUAAAGUUUUCCACGUGUGGAAUUUUGUAUGUACCAUAUGAAUAAGGAUCGGCUAACUCCGUGCCAGCAGCCGCGGUAAUACGGAGGAUCCGAGCGUUAUCCGGAUUUAUUGGGUUUAAAGGGAGCGUAGGUGGACAGUUAAGUCAGUUGUGAAAGUUUGCGGCUCAACCGUAAAAUUGCAGUUGAUACUGGCUGUCUUGAGUACAGUAGAGGUGGGCGGAAUUCGUGGUGUAGCGGUGAAAUGCUUAGAUAUCACGAAGAACUCCGAUUGCGAAGGCAGCUCACUGGACUGCAACUGACACUGAUGCUCGAAAGUGUGGGUAUCAAACAGGAUUAGAUACCCUGGUAGUCCACACAGUAAACGAUGAAUACUCGCUGUUUGCGAUAUACAGUAAGCGGCCAAGCGAAAGCAUUAAGUAUUCCACCUGGGGAGUACGCCGGCAACGGUGAAACUCAAAGGAAUUGACGGGGGCCCGCACAAGCGGAGGAACAUGUGGUUUAAUUCGAUGAUACGCGAGGAACCUUACCCGGGCUUAAAUUGCAUUUGAAUAUAUUGGAAACAGUAUAGCCGUAAGGCAAAUGUGAAGGUGCUGCAUGGUUGUCGUCAGCUCGUGCCGUGAGGUGUCGGCUUAAGUGCCAUAACGAGCGCAACCCUUAUCUUUAGUUACUAACAGGUCAUGCUGAGGACUCUAGAGAGACUGCCGUCGUAAGAUGUGAGGAAGGUGGGGAUGACGUCAAAUCAGCACGGCCCUUACGUCCGGGGCUACACACGUGUUACAAUGGGGGGUACAGAAGGCAGCUACCUGGUGACAGGAUGCUAAUCCCAAAAGCCUCUCUCAGUUCGGAUCGAAGUCUGCAACCCGACUUCGUGAAGCUGGAUUCGCUAGUAAUCGCGCAUCAGCCAUGGCGCGGUGAAUACGUUCCCGGGCCUUGUACACACCGCCCGUCAAGCCAUGAAAGCCGGGGGUACCUGAAGUACGUAACCGCAAGGAGCGUCCUAGGGUAAAACUGGUAAUUGGGGCUAAGUCGUAACAAGGUAGCC